rnacentral:rRNA from 1 species
UACGUAGGGUGCGAGCGUUAAUCGGAAUUACUGGGCGUAAAGCGUGCGCAGGCGGUUCGUUGUGUCGGUGGUGGAAGCCCCGGGCUUAACCUGGGAAUGGCCAUGGAAACUGGCGAACUGGAGUGUGGCAGAGGGGGGUGGAAUUCCGCGUGUAGCAGUGAAAUGCGUAGAGAUGCGAAGGAACACCGAUGGCGAAGGCAGCCCCCUGGGCUAACACUGACGCUCAGGCACGAAAGCGUGGGGAGCAAACAGG